rnacentral:rRNA from 1 species
UACGAAGGGGGCUAGCGUUGUUCGGAAUUACUGGGCGUAAAGCGCACGUAGGCGGAUACUUAAGUCAGGGGUGAAAUCCCAGAGCUCAACUCUGGAACUGCCUUUGAUACUGGGUACCUAGAGUAUGGAAGAGGUGAGUGGAAUUCCGAGUGUAGAGGUGAAAUUCGUAGAUAUUCGGAGGAACACCAGUGGCGAAGGCGGCUCACUGGUCCAUUACUGACGCUGAGGAGCGAAAGCAUGGGGAGCGAACAGG